GGGAGCCGUGUACACGGAAACGGGUACGCACGGAUCUAACUGAGAGGGGCGGGAAAUAAUAUUCCCCCUCGACUCAAC
rfam:Anabaena sp. 90 chromosome chANA01, complete sequence.